rnacentral:lncRNA from 1 species
GAGGAAAUAAAGAUCUGAGUUUAUCCCACACAAUUUUUCCUCCAGGAACCUCACCUGUUCCAAUGGGGAGGAUCUGAGAGUGCUCCCCAUGCGGCUCUGGCAGGCGGAGGCAGAGCAGCCCCGGUGAAGCCCUCCCAGACCCUCCUCCCUAAUCUCCAGUGGAAAGGAUGUUUUGUCAGAGGGCAAUUCCAAGACCUUAUCCCAGCCAAGACAAAAGGAACUCGGCACCACUCCAGCCCUCUCCAGACUUCCAGUCUCACCUAAUGAAAAAAAAUAUAUAAAAGCCAUAGAUGUCACACCACCUUCUCUUCUGUGUGUCAGUCGCCCCUGCCUCCCUCUUCUAAGAAGAUAUGUGGUUGUAUUGUAUUUAGAGCCUACAUGGAUAAUCCAGGCUAAUCUUCUCAUCCCAAG